rnacentral:rRNA from 1 species
CCGCACAAGCGGUGGAGCAUGUGGUUUAAUUCGAUGCAACGCGAAGAACCUUACCUACUCUUGACAUCCAGAGAACUUAGCAGAGAUGCUUUGGUGCCUUCGGGAACUCUGAGACAGGUGCUGCAUGGCUGUCGUCAGCUCGUGUUGUGAAAUGUUGGGUUAAGUCCCGCAACGAGCGCAACCCUUAUCCUUUGUUGCCAGCGGUUCGGCCGGGAACUCAAAGGAGACUGCCAGUGAUAAACUGGAGGAAGGUGGGGAUGACGUCAAGUCAUCAUGGCCCUUACGAGUAGGGCUACACACGUGCUACAAUGGCAUAUACAAAGAGAAGCGACCUCGCGAGAGCAAGCGGACCUCAUAAAGUAUGUCGUAGUCCGGAUUGGAGUCUGCAACUCGACUCCAUGAAGUCGGAAUCGCUAGUAAUCGUAGAUCAGAAUGCUACGGUGAAUACGUUCCCGGGCCUUGUACACACCGCCCGUCACACCAUGGGAGUGGGUUGCAAAAGAAGUAGGUAGCUU